GGUCCCCUGGUCGAGUGGUUAGGCGCUCAGUUCCGCGCCGACACCAUAAACGAUCAUCUCCACGGACUGAGAGAAGCCAGGUUCAAUUCCUGGGGGGGCCU
rnacentral:tRNA from 1 species